UACGUAGGGUGCAAGCGUUGUCCGGAAUUAUUGGGCGUAAGAGCUCGUAGGCGGCUUGUCACGUCGGUUGUGAAAGCCCGGGGCUUAACCCCGGGUCUGCAGUCGAUACGGGCAGGCUAGAGUUCGGUAGGGGAGAUCGGAAUUCCUGGUGUAGCGGUGGAAAUGACGCAGAUAUCAGGAGGAACACCGGUGGCGAAGGCGGAUCUCUGGGCCGAUACUGACGCUGAGGAGCGAAAGCGUGGGGAGCGAACAGG
rnacentral:rRNA from 1 species